UCUCUCUGAAUCUGCGAACGGCUCCGCAAACCAGUUGUAAACUAUAGCAAGCAAUCCUGUGGUUGGGCUUCGGCCCGGCCAUGGGUAACAUGGAUAACCCUGGUAAUUCUGAGGCUAAUACAAGAACGUACAACCUGGCUGACCGGCAACGGAAGGCUGGGGAACGUGCAACGUAUCGUAAUGGAUACCAGGAAAGGGUGCACGUUUGGACCGCGCUAAAGACAGUCCUUGGUGAGCCCUCACGGGCAAGCCUUGGCCUGAGCGGCUCUUGCGGUGUGCUUCUGACCUAUCAACUAGACGGCAGCGUAAGGGACAUGCUAUGGUUACAACGGGUACAGAGGAUAAGGGUUCGAUCCUGGAGAGUGGGCCUGAGAGAUU
rnacentral:rRNA from 1 species